rnacentral:rRNA from 1 species
GACAGAGGGGGCAAGCGUUAUCCGGAAUUAUUGGGCGUAAAGCGUCCGUAGGCGGUCUUGCAAGUCUGGGGUUAAAGCCCGGAGCUUAACUCCGGAUCUGCCCUGGAGACUGCCAGUCUAGAGGAAGGUAGGGGUUGCGGGAAGUCCCGGUGUAGCGGUGAAAUGCGUAGAUAUCCGGAAGAACACCAGUGGCGAAAGCGGGCCGCUGGGCCAAUACUGACGCUGAGGUACGAAAGCGAGGGGAGCGAAUGGG